UGGCGCACGGGUGCGUAACGCGUAACCAACCUACCCACAACUGGGGGAUAGCCCGCCGAAAGGCGGAUUAAUACCGCAUAAGCUUUGAGAGUGGCAUCACUUUUUUAGUAAAGAUUUAUUGGUUGUGGAUGGGGUUGCGUGCCAUUAGCUAGUUGGUGAGGUAACGGCUCACCAAGGCGACGAUGGCUAGGGGAGCUGAGAGGCUGGUCCCCCACACGGGCACUGAGAUACGGGCCCG
rnacentral:rRNA from 1 species